rnacentral:tRNA from 1 species
GGGAUAACUCCGGGAAACCGGCGCACGCCUGAUAAGCGUGAGGUCGAUGGUUCGAGUCCAUUUAGGCCCACCA